rnacentral:rRNA from 1 species
GACGAACCUUGCAAACGUUAUUCGGAAUUACUGGGCUUAAAGGGUGCGUAGGCGGUGCAGAAAGUUGGGUGUGAAAUACCUCGGCUUAACCGAGGAAUUGCGCCCAAAACUACUGUGCUUGAGGAAGAUAGAGGUGAGCGGAACUUAGGGUGGAGCGGUGAAAUGCGUAGAUAUCGGGAGGAACACCUGUGGCGAAAGCGGCGCACUGGACCAUAACUGACGCUGAGGCGCGAAAGCUAGGGGAGCAAACAGG